rnacentral:tRNA from 1 species
GGGGGAGUAGCUCAGCGGUUAGAGCAGGCGUCUUAUACACGCCACGUCGAAGGUUCGAAUCCUUCCUCCCCUACCA